rnacentral:rRNA from 1 species
AACGAACGCUGGCGGCAUGCCUAACACAUGCAAGUCGAACGAGACCUUCGGGUCUAGUGGCGCACGGGUGCGUAACGCGUGGGAACCUGCCCUUAGGUUCGGAAUAACUCCCCGAAAGGGGUGCUAAUACCGGAUAAUGUCUUCGGACCAAAGAUUUAUCGCCUUUGGAUGGGCCCGUGUUGGAUUAGCUAGUUGGUAGGGUAAAAGCCUACCAAGGCGACGAUCCAUAGCUGGUCUGAGAGGAUGAUCAGCCACACUGGGACUGAGACACGGCCCAGACUCCUACGGGAGGCAGCAGUGGGGAAUAUUGGACAAUGGGCGAAAGCCUGAUCCAGCCAUGCCGCGUGAGUGAUGAAGGCCUUAGGGUUGUAAAGCUCUUUUACCCGGGAUGAUAAUGACAGUACCGGGAGAAUAAGCUCCGGCUAACUCCGUG